CGGACCAAAAAAACCUAUAUAGUAUGCUAAGCUAGCAACUAUCAGCAUCUUCUAACAAUAUAAUAUAAUACAGUUUGAUCGGGGGCGACCAAACUACCCAAGAAGCCGGGGGUAGGAAGAAGGUGAGGGGCGCGACGAAGCUGGGACGGUCGGAGAAGGUCCCGGGAGGGGCUCCUGCAAGGGACUCCAAUGCCAAAGUAAGUAGGGGAAUGAGAGUGAGUGAGUGAAGAGGUGAAGAAAUGAGUUACCUUAAUAUGGAGGAGGAGUUCUCCUUAUAUACACGAAGGGAAAUUAGGGUUGGAGCCAUGCAACGUCAUGCCUGGCUCGUACUUGGUUCAUCCUGGGCCGUUGGAUCCUCUGUUGCUCCCUGCCGCAAAGUAGUGAUCCAAUGGUCCAGGGUUCCUUGGGAUCUGUGCCUCCAACCACUAGUACCGUAGGGUGGUUGGGAUAGGUCAACCCCUACAUGGUGGGCCCGGUGAUUGUCUUGUACUAAAAAGGGAAGUCUCCUCCGUCCCAAGCGGGCCGGGAGGAGGUAGCGAUCGUUUAGUGGGUGAUCGUCCCAUUAGGUCCACUCCGGUCGUCCGUUCGAGGGUUUCCUGGAGCGGUGGUCGUCCACGGGCGGUGGUGGCCGUUUCGUUAGGUUUCCGCCCUGGGCCUGCUCUGGUCGUCCGUGCCAUGGUUUCCCAGAACAGUAGUCCCCCAGCUCUGGUCCACUGCCACAGUGGAGCAUGAGCUUUAAGGGCGGCGUUUUCGCGGAGGAGGUACUAGGGUUCUCUGAACAGUCAUGCAUGCCCUGUAUGCGGGUGGCCCCCAGUCGUUCGAUCCUCUUGUCAUUCCUGCGACGCCAGCGAGAUCUCACGGUCCAGGAUUCCCCGUGUGGUAGGUACAGACCCUAGCUUUCUAGGGUGGUUGAGGGAAGUUAACUCCUAGGCCCUGGGUCCCACCGUUGUCCUUUGUGGGAGUGUGGAGUCGGACCUAGGUAUAUCCCAAGUUCCCAGAACAGUAGUCCCCUAGCUCUGGUCCACAAGGGUUGUGGAGCUUGAGCUACGAGAUUGGGUCGAUCGUCCUCGGGGGACGAUCGGUUUUGGAGGCUCCCAGAACAGUAGUGGAAAUAGUGGGAUCGCUUGGUCGAUCAAGGUUGAUCGUUCUUAGUCUUGAUCGGGUGAGGAGACAGUGUGAUCGACAUGGGCAGUGAUCGGCUGGAGCGUCUCCCAGAACAGUAGUCCCCUAGCUCUGGUCCACAAGAAUUGUGGAGCUUGAGCUACGAGAUUGGGCCGAUCGUCCUCGGGGGACGGUCAGUUUUGGAGGCUCCCAGAACAGUAGUCCCCUAGCUCUGGUCCACAAGAAUUGUGGAGCUUGAGCUAAUAGAGUUGGAGUUUAAAGUCGGAAGUCCAUCUUGAAUUCUCUCUCGGAAUAACAAUCUCCUAACUCUAGCAUUUAGUGAUGGAUGUCGAGAGGUAAGUUGUUUUCACUCGAAAGACUUAGUGUUCUCGGAGGGAAGUUGCCAAUUGUCUGACAAAUUUCUUAGGACUCGGAGGAAUCCUUGCACUCGCUUGUCGAGAGAUUGGUCCUUAGAGGUUAUUUUUCUUGAUCUUUAGACAAAGCUAUGGAUGUGGAGCUUGAGUGACAGGAUUGGGUCGAUCGUCCUUGAGGGACGGUCGGUUUUGGAGGCUCCCGGAACAGUAGUCCCCUAGCUCUAGUCCAUCAUGGAGCUCCAGCUACGAGGGUGGUGUGACCCGAUUGCGGAUUUAAGGGUGAGCCCGGAUGAGCCCCAGCCCGAUCGCUCGUGUGGUAUGGAGCGGAAGUUCUUUGACAUUUUGUUGUUUCGAGAUAGUAGAGUUUCUGAAUCUUUGGGACCUGACUAAAACGUUUGGUUUUAGUGGGAUGAUCGGUCUUGACUAAGCGUUUUGACACUUAGGGUUUUUUUUGAAUUUUUGUUAUCCGCUCAGAGGAAUUUGAGUCUCCGGGGAUUCUCCUAUCUUUUCUUCGUCUUCAUUAUCUUAUCCUUCUUGAUUUCUUUUAUCCGCUCGCCCAGGCGUUCGCGCGCUCGGAGGGACUUCUUAGCGACCGUCCUCGGCUAAGCGUUUUGACGCUUUGGAGGUUUCUUGGCUUGAGCUUCCCCAAACCCUCAAAUUUUAGGGGUUAUGCUCGUCCUCAAGUAAGUGUCUGAACACUUGGAAAUUUGUCUCCGUGUUCGUUCUCGCCAGGCAUUAAGACACUCGAGGGGGGUUUGUCUUCAUCUCCUCUCCCUCCGAGCGUUGACACACUCCAGGGGAUUUAAUCUCCAAUUCCCUCCCACCAAGCGUUGCGGUGCUCGGAGGGAACUCUUCUUCAUAUCCCUGUCAUCGAGUGUUGCUAUGCUCAGGGAUGAUUUUUUCUUCAUCACCCUCUCGUCGAGCGAUGCGAUGCUCGGGGAGGGUUUCUUCUUCAUAUCCCUCUCGCCGAGCGUUGAGGCACUCGGAAGGGACUUUCAACUCUUUGUUGCCUCAACCAGUUUAUUAGUCCCGAGAGGUCUCUUCGUGCCUGACCGAGUCUAUGCUCGGCGAGACCUAGUUAUUCGGUGUCUCAACCAAUUAAUCGGUUUUGCGAGGUCUUGUCGUGCUCAGUUGGGUCUAUGCCCGUCAUGUCUUUUUAUCUUCUCGUCCCCUCGACCAAUUAAUUGGUUUUACGAGGUCUUGUCGUGCCCGGUUGGGUCUAUGCCCGUCAGGUCUUUUUAUCUGCUCGUCCCCUCGACCAAUUAAUUGGUUUUACGAGGUCUUGUCGUGCCCGGUUGGGUCUAUGCCCGUCAGGUCUUUUUAUCUUCUUGGCGCCUCAACCAAUUAAUUGGUUUUACGAGGUCUUUUCCUGCUUUGGAGAAUUCCUUAAAACCUGCUACCUUUUGAACAAGGUCAUGCUAAUACAUUCGUUCAUAUAAGACAUGUGUAGCAUAGCAUAUGAAAUAUUGCUCAGUCAUUUUCAUGGUCUUGAACUAGCUGCGAUGUGUAACACUCAGUUGGUGAUCCUUGAUCGUCCAAAUUGCCCUUGGGUGUUAGGUGGUGAAUUUCUAUUUUUUUUGCUUGAUGAGACUCAUGGUCCUCGUAGAAUUCCUACAUGUAGUGUCCCCUAAGCCAAGCAUGUAGGCAAAAUAUACACAAGACCAACAAGUCUAAAAAAUGACAGUGGGCACACCAUAGUCGUGCGGCUUUUCUCCCAUAUAUCAGUGGGGAUAAUCAUCAUAUGGCAAUAUUUCAAAAGCAAGCAUAAGACAAUAAGAAUGGGGCUUUCUUAGUCUUUCUAUCAUAGUGUGCCCAUGACUGGCCUCAUUUAGUCCUUGAGCUAAAGUAGUGUCUCACAUGAUACCAAACUUUUCAAGUAAAGGUUCGUAUAAGUAAAGUUGGAAAGAGUAGCUUUGGACAUUUCCAUAAAGCCGACUCAUCCAUAUCAUAACUAGUUCAGAAGAGAUAUCACACGCUAGAGGCUUACUUAAUUACCAAAGAACAAUAGCUAAUAUAUCAAAGAAAUAUUACAUGUUAUUUUAACCGGCGAAUUUGUCCUACAUUCCUUGUCAACAAAGAUGUUGCCAAUAUAUUUGUAGGCAUAAUUUGUUAACAUAGCUAACUUAGCUAUCAUGUUCACCUCGCCUGAUGUUAGACCAUACUAGUUUUUACCACUAGUUUUUGAAGUUCCACGUCGGUGUAGGAGCAUUUAGCAAUAUUCAUAUAAGACAAAAAUUAUACAAGAAUGUAACAGUAAUUCACUUUCACAUGGCCCAUCACGGUUAAAAGAGGGCAUACAGUUCCAUAUUUAUAAGGUUAUGUUGGUGUAUGUUGACAUAGUUACUCACAUAAGAUAAAAGGAGGUAAGAGCAUGUUGACCGUGUAGGAGUAAGCAAAUGUUCAUAUAAGACCAAAAAAGGUAGAAAAACUAGAAAUGUCUAAAUGGCUACCUUUGGCUUCAUAUUGUAAAGAUUUGUGCAGUAUCAAUUAAGAUUAAAAAAGGUACAAGAUCACGUGAUGCUGAACCAGAUUUUAGUUACUAUAAAAAGCUAGUUUUUCAAAACCCCCCUGUGCAGACGUUGGGGAAACGAUAUAUAUAACAAAAGGGGGAAGUAAUGUUCAUAUAUCAUAGACUAGGUAGUACUAUAGGAUAAAAUAAUGAUGAAAAAGAGUGAUUGAUGACCUGAUGAAGAGUAGCUCGUGACCCACCAGCCAUGCUUCUCUUCUAAAUCCAGUGGGUUUUGAGUUUUAGCAAAAUACCCUUGUCUUUUUAGUCUUAUGACAUUGCUACCCUUACUUUUUUCCAAGAAGGGUUGCGAAAAUACUAGGAUGUCCCUGCCUCUUGUGUGCUUGGACGUUGCUACCCUCAUCCCCUUCAGCAAUUGCGUCUGGAAAUUCUCCAUCUUUACCCCAAAUUCCAGCGGCGGCGGGGGCAACCAGUGGAGUAAACAGCGAAGUUCCAAUCAGAGAGGCAGAUCGACGUUGGUGUGCUGCUCUUCUCGAUCGUUUCUUUCUCCUCCUGAGGGUUAAACAGAGAACGAAAGUAGGGAGAUGGAGAAAGGAGGAAAAGGAGAGUGGAGGGGAGUUCAGUGGUGGUUUGUGGUGGAUGAGCGGUUCAACGUUGUUGCUUCCGUUCCCGAGUUCUUUUGUACCUUCUUUUUCUUCACCGAUCUACCUGGAUCUUCCGUUCUCUUUGUUUGAUUUUAACAUGGGCCAUGAUGAAGAUGAAGAAGCCGUGGGAAAGCCAUUGCUGCAGUAGCGGGAAACGUCAAGUGGCAGGCAUGGAGGACAGUGCCGUUUGCGUUGAAGCUGCCGGUUGCUUAGACAGAGCUUGGAUCAUCUUAUCUCUUCUCCAAUCUUCUUGGAUUCGGUUGUUGUGGGCGGGGCUGAAGUGAGUUUUUUCCAAUAACGUGGUGGAGAAGUUUUACCGCUCCCCACAGACGGCGCCAAUUGAUCGGGGGCGACCAAACUACCCAAGAAGCCGGGGGUAGGAAGAAGGUGAGGGGCGCGGCGAAGCUGGGACGGUCGGAGAAGGUCCCGGGAGGGGCUCCUGCAAGGGACUCCAAUGCCAAAGUAAGUAGGGGAAUGAGAGUGAGUGAGUGAAGAGGUGAAGAAAUGAGUUACCUUAAUAUGGAGGAGGAGUUCUCCUUAUAUACACGAAGGGAAAUUAGGGUUGGAGCCAUGCAACGUCAUGCCUGGCUCGUACUUGGUUCAUCCUGGGCCGUUGGAUCCUCUGUUGCUCCCUGCCGCAAAGUAGUGAUCCAAUGGUCCAGGGUUCCUUGGGAUCUGUGCCUCCAACCACUAGUA
rnacentral:lncRNA from 1 species